ACUCAAAUGAAUAGACGGGGGCCCGCACAAGCGGCGGAGCAUGUCGCUUAAUUCGAUGCAACGCGAAGAACCUUACCUAGGUUGAACUAUGCAGGAAAAGCCACAGAGAUGUGGUGUCCUUCGGGGCCUGCGAUAGGUGGUGCAUGGCUGUUGUCAGCUCGUGUCGUGAGAUGUUGGGUUAAGUCCCGCAACGAGCGCAACCCUUGUCCUAUGUUGCCAGCGCGUAAUGGCGGGGACUCGUAGGAGACUGCCGUGGCUAACACGGAGGAAGGUGGGGAUGACUUCAAGUCAUCAUGCCCCUUACGUCUAGGGCUGCAGACAUGCUACAAUGGCCGGUACAGAGGGUUGCUAUUCCGCGAGGAUGAGCGAAUCCCAAAAAGCCGGUCUCAGUUCGGAUUGAAGUCUGCAACUCGACUUCAUGAAGCCGGAGUCGCUAGUAAUCCCGGAUCAGCAUUGCCGGGGUGAAUACGUUCCCGGGCCUUGCACACACCGCCCGU
rnacentral:rRNA from 1 species